rnacentral:lncRNA from 1 species
UGCGCAAUAUGAGACUACGCAAAUUGUGUAUAUUGAUAACUGCUUUUGUUGAGUGUACAAAAUGAAUAAUGAAGUUUUCAAUUACAUUGAAUAUUUACCGACAGUAUUAAAGCACUUUGGGCGAGCUAAAAUAUAUGUACACAUUUAUUUAUAAAGUAAUAUUUAAAAUGGUUUGGUUUUAAAGCAACCUUUGCAGCUAUAUUGAAAGAUAAGUUAGGUGAACCGGAUGUUGUCUGCCAAAGUGUAAUUGUGAAUCUGAGAAAUUACAGAAGUUUGAAAACUUUAAAGAAAUAAAAUUGAAGACAGAACACACUAUGGCCCAUGUGCAACACUUACCUACGGCAGAACCUUCUAAUCAGAUAAUCAAGGAACCUCAAAAGGUGAUGAAUCACUCUGGCUAUAGAUCCAAAAGUUGUGAAGGUAACA